GGUGCUUCCCCAGAGUCAUCAUGGCUGAGUCAUUUCUGAAGACAAAGAAACACUUCCCUGCCUCAAAGAGUUUGCCUCUUAUUUAACGCCCAGCUUGGAGCUUGAGGGGUUGGAUAUGCACUGGGCAGGACAGUGACCAAAUUUAUUUCAGACAGCUCCAGGAGGAAUUUUGUUUUCAAAUGCACAACAUAAAUUUUAAUGGAAAACCUUUUGGAUUUAUGCUACGACUUGAACCACUGCAGGUAUAACUAAUCUGUUACUACCAUACAAGUGUCCUCUAGACACACUUUUUUCUUCCCUUUGGAGUCAGCCUGCAGCACUUAGAAAAAGACUGUCUAAAUAUUAAUCCAAAAUAGGAAAAGAGAGAUUGUACAUUAUCAACCCUACACAAGUACAUGCUGAUAGCCACAGCAACAGGUGCAGAUAUGACUUAAAAUAGUGAACAAUUGCUCAUUGUCUGAAUUCUGCAAAGCAUCUUUAACUUUGGUUUUUACAGAUGCAGUACACAGUUAAGUAGCCAGUAGCCAAAGAGAACUUCUCAAAUGCAAAUUAUUUGUUCUGCAUAGCACAGUAGUAUUAGGCAUUGAUGAUAUCUGCUGGAGCAGGCACAGAAUACAAGUGGUAGAACAAAGUGAAUUAUGAAAUCACAGUCCAAAAUCCCAGGCAUAUUCAGCCAGGGAAAUGAAAUGGACAUGAGAACAACAGUAAUUGCUCCAGUGAUUAGGAUGUGAAUAUACACGGACAUCACUCCAUAUCAAACAAAUAUGGUGCUAUUCUGGCUUCUCCUUUUGACAUAAGUUGUUGUGUUUGCUGAUUGUGUCAAUAAAGGGGAAAUCUUUAGGGUAUCUGCUGCUUCAUUUGAUUCUGUACACCUCAUUUUGUUUACCUAAUUACUACAUAAUGCAAAUAUUCCUAGUAGAAUCAGAGUUCAGUAUCUAUUCCUUUUUUCUUCCACACUGCAUGCACAAAAUCUUCUUAGAUAUUUUUGGCCUCACGUUUAUGUAGUUUAUUUACUAGUAAAGUACUGCAAGUGCAGGCUUUCUGCAGCUGUUUUAACUCACCAUCCUAUAUGCAAACCACUCAAUACUACCAUGCUUCUUACAAAAAAUAAAAAAGCCACCCUACAGUAAACCAAGCCAAUUUCUUUUCAAGCAAGUCAUGUUUGGCAUUGCUAACAGAACAAUGAGCAUUUCUGAAUGAUUAAAUCCUUGAGAGCAUUUAACUCCACGGGAACCCCACAGCAAGUGACACUUAGCAAUUUGCUCCCCUCUUGUGGAAGCUGAAAAACCGGCCAAGGAAAGGUUUGCUGCACUUCCUUGGGGAACCAUAACCUCUGUAGUUGUGGUGAGCAAAAAAAUAUUCCCCCAGAAUGCUUUCCUUCCCUAUGCUGAUUCUUUGUACCCCAUUGGUCCUUCCCCUUUGCUCCACCCCUGUGCCCUCACCCUAUUUGUUCCAGUGUUCUGCCCUGCCCUUCGCUAUUCCUGUAUAAACCCCCACUUUCCCUCUGACUCUCUGGAGCUCUUGUCCCUGGCACCCUUCACAGAGUGCCCCUGCUCACAAUAAAGGCUUGUUCUCUGUGCAUCACCAUACAAGGCUCUUGUCUCUUGCCUAUGCAUCGCCCAAGAGUGGAUCUGUGGGUUGUGCUUGUGCAUCCGAGAGCGUGAUCUUUUUAGGACACUUCUUUUGAGGAAGGUCGCGGCGCUCCCAAAGACUACUUCCCACUGUGACACCCUCUAACUGAAACUUAUGAUUGCUUUUUACAUUUGCAAUUAUAGAAGCCACCAUAGAUGAGAUGGUUAUGGUCCUCUCAGCAUAUUCUCAGAAGCCUAUUGUUCUGUGAUUUGUCUUCCCAGAUAAAAUAAUAUUGCAGUUUGUGGUGUGAAUAUUACAAAUCAGUAAUGCUUUACAAAAAUAGGGGCAACCUACAUUGUCUUUGAUUUCUCUCAAUAUCUGAGUGUACUAGUAAGCGUAUUAAUACUAUUUAAAAGUCUUUUUUUUUUUUUUUUUUUACUAUCAAAGAUUUACUUUGUUGUUUUAUCCCUUUCUGUGAUUCCCAAUGUUAUAAAUGAAUAAUGCGAUGGUUGACUCUCACAAUUAAGGGGUGAAUAUUAAGUGUAUAUUGAGAGAAGUUUUGUAGAUGUAUAGUUAUGUUUCUCCUCCCCUUUGCAUUGUUAUCACGGGAUGGCCUUAGUACUCGGCCAUUUGGGAGGCUUGGCUUGUUACUAUGGCAACACCUGACCUCCAAUCAAGAUGCAAGAAAGUGAUCUCCACCACUGGACAACAAGGAAGGAGCCGAUUAACAAGACUUUGGGAGGGGAUAGAGGUAUAAAAGGUGGAGCAUCCAUUUUGUAGUCGAGCACAUGGUGGUUGAAUCCUUUGCUCCUGGCGCUGUAUUUUUCCUUAUUUAGUCUUCUGUUGUAUUUUGAUAAGGUCUUAAUAAACCUUUUAAAUUUUUAAAA